GCCUUCGUGGUAUAGUGGUCAGCACGCUCGACGCAUAACCGGAAGGUCCGUGGUUCGAUUCCCGGCGAAGGCG
rfam:Stegodyphus mimosarum contig11064, whole genome shotgun sequence.